rnacentral:rRNA from 1 species
UACGUAGGUGGCAAGCGUUGUCCGGAUUUAUUGGGCGUAAAGGGAGCGCAGGCGGUGACUUAAGUCUGAUGUGAAAGCCCACGGCUCAACCGUGGAAGGUCAUUGGAAACUGGGUCACUUGAAUAUAGAAGAGGAAAGUGGAAUUCCAUGUGUAGCGGUGAAAUGCGUAGAUAUAUGGAGGAACACCAGUGGCGAAGGCGACUUUCUGGUCUAUUAUUGACGCUGAGGUUCGAAAGCAUGGGUAGCAAACAGGAUUAGAUACCCU